UGUCUUUUUAGUUCAUCCUAUUUGAUAAUUCGGCGUCGUUAUUAUCCUCCCUCUACUACUCAGUUUUGGAGCUCUUUGCUGCAAAGAAAAAAAAUUUUUACCUCAAAAAAGAGUCUAAAAACGGGAGGAAGACAUCACUUA
rfam:Rattus norvegicus chromosome 4, whole genome shotgun sequence.